AUGAAUUCGUUCUGGAUACACGCAAUUUGGAUACCGGGAUUCUUGUUCUUUUUUGGAUUUCAAGCCAGAUCAUUAGGUUCCAGCGCUUCAGCUGGCUUUGCAGGUUCCUGCGCCUCAGCCGGCUCGACAGGUUCCUGCGUCUCAGCCGGCUCUACAGGUUCCCGCGUCUCAGCCGGCUCUACAGGUUCCCGUGUCUCAGCCGGCUCUACAGGUUCCCGCGUCUCAGCCGGCUCUACAGGUUCCCGCGUCUCAGCCGGCUCUACAGGUUCCCGCGUCUCAGCCGGCUCUACAGGUUCCCGCGUCUCAGCCGGCUCUACAGGUUCCCGCGUCUCAGCCGGCUCUACAGGUUCCCGCGCCUCAGCCGGCUCUACAGGUUCCCAUGCCUUCAGCUGGCUCACCAGGUUCCUGUGCCUGGUCCAUUCCUGGUCUUUGAGACCGUCCCUCUGAUCGGCGUCCUGCGGCUGGAGCCGCGUGUCAGGGAAGGGGUACUGUCACGUCUACUCCCACUCCUCCUCUAUGACGCUCGUUGUCGCCAGUCUAAUCAUUAUGCACACCUGCCAC
rnacentral:lncRNA from 13 species